GUCGUCGCUGCUCAACAUGUGUUCGUCUCUGUGCGUCUCCGUUCUCUUCAUCGCUUUUGAAGACUAGUUCUGAAAUAGCAUUAUAUAGUUUGAAUGAUGAUGUUACUUGCAUUUACUGGGAAAAAGUGGAGCUAUUUUUGCAUUCAUGUUUUGCUGAAUCGUCAGUUAAGAGAAGCAAGAGAAGGAAGGGCUGGAAGGGCUUGAUGGGCAAUGGAAUUGAGCCAGACGGGAGGUGUUGAGAUGUAGCCAUGUAAGGGGCGAUAUCAGUUGUGGCAAGCUCAUCUCCGCAAGGCCUUUGCUUGCGCUAGGAUUGAUAAGGACAUUUUAGAUCUCGUGACAGAGAGAGCUUAUUCUUAUGGUGUGGAUUCUGCUAGAAUCUCAUCUGUUCUGGCUUUGAAGAAAGACCAACAGGAAGUUAAAAAUUUCUGCACCAUCUGCUUGGAGAACAUGCUGGCUGGAUCAGAUGCCAGUCAUGCCACUCCCGAUCCCGUUGCUGAUUGCUCUAAUUCGUCACAGAUGUGUUAUUAAGUGGUUGCUGACCAGCGAUGGUUGCCCUGUAUGCCUUAGUAAGAUGCUAAAUGCCAGUGAUGGUUAAGGAGCUGAUGAACAGAAUAGUGAAGUUUAUGUUUUAUUGAUUGUUGAAGAGUUUUGGAGCCUCAAUUCCAUGUGUUUGCUUGACAAUGUAUUCCUCAUUAAACACUUCUUAAAGAUUAGUUGAUGAUGAUCAAUCAAAUUUGAAUAUUUAUUUCAUUAA